CCCCAGACUCCUACGGGAGGCAGCAGUGGGGAAUAUUGGGCAAUGGACGCAAGUCUGACCCAGCAACGCCGCGUGAAGGAAGAAGGCUUUCGGGUUGUAAACUUCUUUUAAGGGGGAAGAGCAGAAGACGGUACCCCUUGAAUAAGCCACGGCUAACUACGUGCCAGCAGCCGCGGUAAUACGUAGGGGGCGAGCGUUAUCCGGAUUUACUGGGUGUAAAGGGAGCGUAGACGGUUCUGCAAGUCUGAAGUGAAAGCCCGUGGCUUAACCGCGGAACGGCUUUGGAAACUGUGGAACUGGAGUGCUGGAGAGGCAAGCGGAAUUCCUAGUGUAGCGGUGAAAUGCGUAGAUAUUAGGCGGAACACCAGUGGCGAAGGCGGCUUGCUGGACAGUAACUGACGUUGAGGCUCGAAAGCGUGGGGAGCAAACAGGAUUAGAUACCCUGGUAC
rnacentral:rRNA from 1 species